rnacentral:rRNA from 1 species
AUUGAACGCUGGCAGCAUGCCUUACACAUGCAAGUCGAACGGCAGCGGGGGAGAAGCUUGCUUUUCCUGCCGGCGAGUGGCGAACGGGUGAGUAAUACAUCGGAACGUGCCCUGUAGUGGGGGAUAACUAGUCGAAAGAUUAGCUAAUACCGCAUACGACCUGAGGGUGAAAGUGGGGGACCGCAAGGCCUCAUGAUAUAGGAGCGGCCGAUGCCUGAUUAGCUAGUUGGUGGGGUAAAGGCCUACCAAGGCGACGAUCAGUAGCUGGUCUGAGAGGACGAUCAGCCACACUGGGACUGAGACACGGCCCAGACUCCUACGGGAGGCAGCAGUGGGGAAUUUUGGACAAUGGGCGAAAGCCUGAUCCAGCAAUGCCGCGUGUGUGAAGAAGGCCUUCGGGUUGUAAAGCACUUUUGUCCGGAAAGAAAUGGCUCUGGUUAAUACCUGGGGUCGAUGACGGUACCGGAAGAAUAAGGACCGGCUAACUACGUGCCAGCAGCCGCCGUAA